rnacentral:rRNA from 1 species
CUAGUCUAAGGUCGUAGGAGGUUAUACAGGCAAAUCCGUAUAACAAUACUCCGAGAACUGAAAGGCUUUUUGAAGUCUUCGGAUGGAUAGAAGAACCCCUGAUGCCGUCGAGCCAAGAAAAGUUUCUAAGUUUAGCUAAUGUUGCCCGUACCGUAAACCGACACAGGUGGGUGGGAUGAGUAUUCUAAGGCGCGUGGAAGAACUCUCUUUAAGGAACUCUGCAAAAUAGCACCGUAUCUUCGGUAUAAGGUGUGGUUAGCCUUGUAUUAGGAUUUACUCCGAAAGCAAGGAAACUUACAACAAAGAGUCCCUCCCGACUGUUUACCAAAAACACAGCACUCUGCUAACUCGUAAGAGGAUGUAUAGGGUGUGACGCCUGCCCGGUGCUCGAAGGUUAAUUGAUGGGGUUAGCAUUAGCGAAGCUCUUGAUCGAAGCCCGAGUAAACGGCGGCCGUAACUAUAACGGUCCUAAGGUAGCGAAAUUCCUUGUCGGUUAAAUACCGACCUGCAUGAAUGGCGUAACGAGAUGGGAGCUGUCUCAAAGAGGGAUCCAGUGAAAUUGUAGUGGAGGUGAAAAUUCCUCCUACCCGCGGCAAGACGGAAAGACCCCGUGGACCUUUACUACAGCUUGACACUGCUACUUGGAUAAGAAUGUGCAGGAUAGGUGGGAGGCUUUGAGUAUAUGACGCCAGUUGUAUAUGAGCCAUUGUUGAGAUACCACUCUUUCUUAUUUGGGUAGCUAACCAGCUUGAGUUAUCCUCAAGUGGGACAAUGUCUGGUGGGUAGUUUGACUGGGGCGGUCGCCUCCCAAAUAAUAACGGAGGCUUACAAAGGUUGGCUCAGAACGGUUGGAAAUCGUUCGUAGAGUAUAAAGGUAUAAGCCAGCUUAACUGCAAGACAUACAAGUCAAGCAGAGACGAAAGUCGGUCUUAGUGAUCCGGUGGUUCUGUGUGGAAGGGCCAUCGCUCAAAGGAUAAAAGGUACCCCGGGGAUAACAGGCUGAUCUCCCCCAAGAGCUCACAUCGACGGGGAGGUUUGGCACCUCGAUGUCGGCUCAUCGCAUCCUGGGGCUGGAGCAGGUCCCAAGGGUAUGGCUGUUCGCCAUUUAAAGCGGUACGCGAGCUGGGUUCAGAACGUCGUGAGACAGUUCGGUCCCUAUCUGCCGUGGGCGUAAGAAGAUUGAAGAGAUUUGACCCUAGUACGAGAGGACCGGGUUGAACAAACCACUGGUGUAGCUGUUGUUCUGCCAAGAGCAUCGCAGCGUAGCUAAGUUUGGAAAGGAUAAACGCUGAAAGCAUCUAAGCGUGAAGCCAACUCUAAGAUGAAUCUUCUCUAAGCUCUCUAGAAGACUACUAGUUUGAUAGGCUGGGUGUGUAAUGGAUGAAAGUCCUUUAGCUGACCAGUACUAAUAGAGCGUUUGGCUUAUCUUUAAUAAAGCAU